rnacentral:rRNA from 1 species
CCCUUAGAUGUUCUGGGCCGCACGCGCGCUACACUGACGAAUGCAACGAUCUUAUAACCUUGGCCGAAAGGUCUGGGUAAUCUCCAAAUUUCGUCGUGAUGGGGAUAGAUUAUUGCAAUUAUUAAUCUUCAACGAGGAAUGCCUAGUAAGCGCAAGUCAUCAGCUUGCGUUGAUUACGUCCCUGCCCUUUGUACACACCGCCCGUCGCUCCUACCGAUUGAAUGGUCCGGUGAAGCGUUCGGACCGUGGCCUUUGGACGGUUCGCCGUCUGUUGGCUGCGGGAAGUUCGUUAAACCUUAUCAUUUAGAGGAAGGAGAAGUCGUAACA